AUGAACGCUAGCGGCAGGCUUAAUACAUGCAAGUCGAGGGGCAGCGCGGGUAGCAAUACCUGGCGGCGACCGGCGCACGGGUGCGUAACGCGUAUGUAAUCUACCAUUAACCGGGGAAUAGCCCAGAGAAAUCUGGAUUAAUGCCCCAUAGUAUUAUUGAAAGGCAUCUUUUGAUAAUUAAAGCUCCGGCGGUUUUUGAUGAACAUGCGUGUCAUUAGUUUGUUGGUGAGGUAACGGCUCACCAAGACUACGAUGACUAGGGGGUCUGAGAGGAUGAUCCCCCACACUGGUACUGAGACACGGACCAGACUCCUACGGGAGGCAGCAGUAAGGAAUAUUGGGCAAUGGAGGCAACUCUGACCCAGCCAUGCCGCGUGAAGGAUUGACGGCCCUCUGGGUUGUAAACUUCUUUUAUAUGUCAAGAAAAUGACGGUAGCAUAUGAAUAAGCACCGGCUAACUCCGU
rnacentral:rRNA from 1 species